CCCCAAGCACCCGCUGUGACCAGUAACAUUGCAUUUCAAAAUGGCGGCUCGCGUGUUUUCGACAAUAGCUGUAGUACUUGUACUUCAGUGUUGUAUGAUGUCCUUAGCAGUUCCAUUAGAACAAGAUAGUAAAAAAAUGACAGAAGCAACGCGCGCGGAGCUUCAGCCAGAAACAACGAUUACCGACUGGGUUUUCACUACCAGGAUACCGGAAAAUACAGAUUUCUUUACCCCAUCAAUCGAUACUUCAAUGCAUUCAACAUCCCUCUGGCCCUAUGCACUCCGGUUUAACAGAUGGCUGACAGAGCGUACUCUGCCUUCAUCAGCUCGACUGCCUGUCAAGAAAGUGUUUUCCCCUAUCCCGACACAGUCUGUCACAUCGGAAGCGAGUUCCACUAUCCCGCCAACUGUUAUAACAAAACGGGGAUCAUCUGUGCUGUCAAUCGUGAAAGAAGGGAGUUCCACUAUCCCGCCAACUGUUAUACCAGGCCGGGGAUCACCUGUGCUGCCAAUCGCUCUAAUCAUCAAAAAUCAAAAUAUAAUCAUCAACUGAACCUCCAGGUCUCCUGGCGCAACUGCAGAAGCAGUGAAACAGAAACGUCUCUAGAAUAUUCUGAACAUGGAUUUUAGAUUACUUUUAUUACAUAAUAUUAAAGGUUAUUAAAUUUAUAUACUAAUUCAAAAUAAA